rnacentral:tRNA from 1 species
GUCCCGAUGGGGUAGCGGAUAUCCCGGAAGCCUCCGGAGCUUUCAACCUGAGUUCAAAUCUCAGUCGGGAUG